rnacentral:rRNA from 1 species
GAUGAACGCUAGCGGCAGGCUUAAUACAUGCAAGUCGAGGGGCAGCGGGGUAGCAAUACCGCCGGCGACCGGCAAACGGGUGCGGAACACGUACAGAACCUUCCUUUAAGUGGGGGAUAGCCCAGAGAAAUUUGGAUUAAUACCCCGUAAGACUAUGAAGUGGCAUCACUUUAUAAUUAUAGAUUUAUUGCUUAAAGAUGGCUGUGCGGCUGAUUAGGUAGUUGGCGGGGUAACGGCCCACCAAGCCAGCGAUCAGUAACUGGUGUGAGAGCACGACCAGUCACACGGGCACUGAGACACGGGCCCGACUCCUACGGGAGGCAGCAGUAAGGAAUAUUGGUCAAUGGACGCAAGUCUGAACCAGCCAUGCCGCGUGAAGGAUGAAGGCCCUCUGGGUUGUAAACUUCUUUUAUCUGGGAAGAAAUCACUUCUUUAUAGAGGUGUUGACGGUACCAGAGGAAUAAGCACCGGCUAACU